UAGAAUUCUUGUUUUGAUUUAGCAUGUCACAUGAUCUUAUAUCAGCCAACAAUUUAUUGAUUUAUUAUGCGAGCAAAUCAGCUGACUGAUCACUCAACUAUUAUGAAUAAAAUAUAUUCUAUUUGGAUAAUAUAUUAAAUAUUAUAUGUUAAAGUAAGGUUUAUGUAAUGGAAAAGCAAUGAAUAUAAUGUUAUUUGAAUAUUUAUUGGUAUCUAAGAAUAUAUGAAAAAACAAGAGUGUACAAAACUCACAUGAAAAGUAAAUGUAUUCAUUAUUAUAUUAGCAUAUAUUAAGAUUCAUUUAAUUGAAAUGCUUAUGGUCUAUUAUAUAAUUUAUUUAAGUAUAAUCUUAUUUAUUAUUGUGUAACAAAAAGCUGAGGAAACCCUGAAUCUUAAAUAGCCAAUUACAUCAUGUCUUACAAAGACUGAAAAACCAAUCAGAUGAGGGCUUACAAAUUUUAGAGGAAGAGAUGAAAAUUUUUCCAAGAAAUGCUCUCUCUGGCUUGUGAUCUCGCCGAUACGGCAGCACAUGAGGAUAGGGCUCUUUUCAAUUAUUUUUUGAAAAGAGCAUCAAGCCAGUCCCUUUCUAAAUGUUCAAGUAUUUAUAAUUAAUGUUUGAUUGUUCAUGAACUCAGUGAAUAUUUAAGAGUUCCUAAUUGUAAAAUUUUCCAUAUAUAUUUAAUACUGAUGGAAAAUUACAUGCGAUUUAGACCAUACCUGAGCCCAGCAAAGUUCAAAGGAUUCGAGUAAUUAAUUAUUCUACAAGAACUUCAGCGAAUGUCAUUUGAUAUUGUUCCAGGAAAGCUGCAAUGAAUUUGUCCAACGUCCUGAAUCCGUGAUGAUGGAUCUGGAGGAAUAACAGAGGUUCACCACCCAACAAACUAGUCAAUCUGAGUCGCCACAUUUCCACGAGAUGUGAUUCUGACUCCUGAAACACUACUGGAUCUGCAGGCUCCUCUUCGCCCCCCUCGAUGUCGACAUCUGCUACCCUGGUAUUCAGUGGUGCGUCGUGGCUUCGAUCUGAGUGGACGACAGUUGCUGUAAACCUUGAGGAUCGAAAACUAUACAACUAACACUUCCGGGUUCCCUCUCCCAUGGCAUAUCAAUGUUGCUCAUUGUGGGAUUCAAUGUACUGGGAGUCGAAAAAGUGGGAUCUGGACAACCGCUGUUUAUAUAUUGUAAUAUUACAAUACUUUGACACUUUUAGAAUUUCAAUUUGUGCGCUGUUAAUGUAGAUCGAUUUUAAUCGAACACAAAAUAUUAAAUAUUGAUAUUUUCUUCAAACAUCGAUAUUCGAUAUCCAUUCAAUAGUUAUUUGGAAAAGAUCCAUUUUUGUUCAAUAAAUUAUUAAAAAACAUUUGAGAAAUAUACAUUUAUUAUCAAAUCUUAAAAUUAUAUACAGCAAUGACUUAGAGCUAACCUGAAUUAAUUGAACUCUAAAAUAUGUGUUUUAUUGGGUUCAGUUGGCAAAGCAAAACUAAUUGUUUUUCAUAUCCAUUUUCUUGUUCUCUUCUGCUAUGGUCUUGGUCUCUUGAAAUGUGCUUGUAACAAUGUCCUGUACUAAAUUUAUUUUAAAGUUUUAUUUCUGCCAACUUCUUGAAACUUAUAUUAAUUUUGUAGUAGAUGUAAACUUAGUGAAAGCAAAAUAUGCUAUGAGUUCUUGUUUUUCUCUUGGUAAUUUUUCUGUAAUUUGUAAAAUGUCUUUCAACCUAACCUCCCGAGCACAUUGUAGGAUUUUCCAUGCAUUAAUAAUAGUUCUGAAUUUUUAGUAUGGUGUUUCUUCAUUAUUAUAAGGUUUUAUUGUUUGUCAUGUUCGAACUCUGUAAUAUACUUCAAAUGUUACAUAUUUCACAGUUAGCAAAAUGCUUUCAAGUCAUUAUAUUAUCCCUUCUCAUAUUAGAAUUAAUUGUUUUAGGAUAAAUUGAUACAGGGCUACUCAUGAUUUAUAUGAAAGGGAACCGAUGUCUUAUCCAAUACAAGUUUUGGCCCGACUGUCCAGUACAGUUUAAUCACCGAAACACCUCAAAUUGUUACCACUGUUGUGGGACCUUACCAAAAUAUAUAUACCCCAAAAUUGAUACCCCAGAAUGUUUUUCUCAGUGAUCAUCAUUAAGUAUAAGAGCCAUGUCUGAUAAAUCAGGAAGUAGUGAUGAUGAAAUGUCUAGAGACACUGUCUUAUUAAAAUACAUCAAGCAAUCUUGAGGAAUUGAGUACUAGUGGAUUACAUAUUUAUGAAAAUACGGUCGGACAUGUAUUUCUAGAUCAGGUUAGCUUUAAUCAAAGUUAUAAUCAACCUAGUAAUGUUG
rnacentral:lncRNA from 1 species